AUUGAACGCUGGCGGCAGGCCUAACACAUGCAAGUCGAACGAGUGGCGGACGGGUGAGUAAUGUCUGGGAAACUGCCCGAUGGAGGGGGAUAACUACUGGAAACGGUAGCUAAUACCGCAUACCAUCGGAUGUGCCCAGAUGGGAUUAGCUUGUAGGUGAGGUAACGGCGCACCUAGGCGAAGAGCCCUAGCUGGUCUGAGAGGAUGACCAGCAACACUGGAACGGAGACAGGGUGCAGACGCCGACGGGAGGCAGAAGUGGGGAAUAUGGCACAAGGGGCGCAAGCCUGAUGCAGCCAUGCCGCGUGUAUGAAGAAGGCCUUAGGGUUGUAAAGUACGUUCAGCGGGGAGGCGUUACCCGCAGAAGAAGCACCGGCGAACUCCGUGCCAGCAGCCGCGGUAAUAC
rnacentral:rRNA from 1 species